AACAGCCUAUCAACAAAAGCAUUUCAGCAUGGGACACAUCAGAGUUUACCUACUAGCAGGAGUAGAGUUUUAGACUGGAAUCAGUUUCCAGCUCUCCAAAAAAUGUUCCUCCACUUUGUAUCUACAUGCUUAUUUUGAUGGGCCAGACGUCUGUCUAUUGGCUUUGUUGCAUGAAUGAACUCAUCACCGAAACUCUCCAUAUCCAACGGUUCAUUGUUUUUAAAACACUAUGAAGCAUACUGGAUAUCGUCAUAAGUUAAACUUCUUUUUCUUGGGGAAAAUUACUUUAAAGCACUGAGUUUCAUUAAAAUCUUCAGAAAUCAAAAGGACAAUCUGAACCUCCAUUUUUCAUGUCAAAGUACUGAAGAGAUAGAAGGAACAUUAUCUUGUUGCUGUGGCUCAAGGAAUCAUUUGACAUAUUAAGGAAAGCACGGCUAUUGGGCAGAUCUGACAAAAUUAGCUCUGUUCUGUAAGAUGGCAACAUGUCUGGUACCCAGUAUUACCCCACAGGUCAUGUUACCUGAAAUUUAUAAAUCAGGCAAUGUAACUUAAAUUGAUUUCAUAGAGAAAUCAAGGGAACAAUAUGAUGGUGCUGCUUGUUUGGGUGGUAUAUGCAAGAUAAUUCAGCAGAGACUAUUUUCAACUAAGCAUUGGUGACAUUUGGGGAGACAAAAAAGCUUCUGACUAAUUUAGAAGUUCCUGUAUGUCUCAUCCUAAAAUGGGUCAGAGGGAACUGAUUUCUGAUUUAAACAUGAAAACCUAAAUAAGUGAAAGAAAGACUAUGGCUGAAGCUGCCUGCCAAGUGGCUCAAGAAAGGAAGCUAGAUUUGAGGAUCCAACUCACUAUUAGAAAAUCUAAGACUCUUAUCUCCCUGGAGGAAGUGAGGCCAAGUGCAAGACAAAGCAUCCUGAAACAAUCCUGGAUCCUGCACUUUUGGAGGUAAGGAGACCUUAGCAGAGUAAAGUCCCCAGAUGCCCAGGAUUUGAAGGACUCACAAGUGUACAGCCAUAGGAGAGAAGGAUUUAUCAUCAAAAGAACUGUAACUGAGAGAACCCCAGCUGUUCAUGAAACAGCCUGCAAGGAGAAGGGCCAACCUAAACAUCUGCCAUUGGAAGAGCAAGCCAGCCGAUAGAACCAGCAAGCAAGUGUGAUCCUGCCUCCCUCUUCUCUCCCAUCUCCCUACCCAACUCACCUGGUGUGUGGGAAUGGGGAGAAGAUGAAAGAACAAAGGAAGAAGCACACAGAAGAUGCAUUACCUAUGUAUCUCUGAAUUUCAGAGUUUUCAUUCUUACCCUAGAUUUUUCAUAUUCUUAACUGAACCAAGACUUAUUUGGAGACUCAGGUAACCAGAGGACUUAUUAUGAUCCAAGAGUGAGUAACAAACUCAGAGCACCCACUGAAAUUUUAUUCAGAAGCAGAAUAAUAUCUACCCCUACAGAAUGAAUUUAGAAAGGCAGCUGUGAGCAAAAAAUAAAUUUGUGUUAUACCCUACCAUAUAACACUCACCUAACAUUUUGUUAAAAGCACUAUUGGCUUCCUGUGAAGUACUUGAGGUCGAUCCUGUCAUUUGGUGACCCAGAGCCCCACUACAAGGAAGAGAAAGGCAAGCGCUGCCUUGCAUUUUUUGUCACUUCCAAGUCUAGCAUCUUAACUAACUCUCCCAACUCUAUGAGGCAUCUAGGUAGGUAUGAAUGUUCCCAUUUUACAAAAGGAAAAACUGAGGAUCAAAUCUGGGACUUGACUUAGCUAACAUCUAAAACCUUAAGCAUUGACAGCUCUAAUUUUAAGAACUCUUGUCAUCCAAACUUCUUAUUCAGUGCUUUUCCCAACAUGUAUGCUAUUUUCUUUAAAGGACAGGAUAAAGAUAAAAGGUUACUUACAAACACUAGAAUCCAUUUCUUUUACAUGAUUGGAAAUAAUUUCUCAGUGAAUAAAACUGAAAUAAUUAUAGCUGUUGGUUUUUUUAGAUAGCAACAUCAGCUUUGAAAUAAAGUCAAGAGUAGCAUAAAACAGUAUGACCCCAGGCAGAGUAGAUUAAAGCCUUUUUCCAAUCCCAGGCUGGUUGCUCUUUAUAGCUGGAUGGAUUUUGUUUUUCUUCCCUUAAAUAAUUUUAGGUGGUAGUUGCGGAGGGGAAGCUCUUUGUUUACACUAAAACAAAAUCUUGUGUACAAGCAACUCCUUUGGCAUAAAGCACAAGGCCAAUUAUCACUUUCUUUUUCCUUCCAUUUUUUCCCCCCACUGGCACAAAAUCUAAGAAAAGCCUCAAGGUGCAAAUGAUUUGCAGUCUAUUUAACAUCAUGGUUAUUUAUUUUUAUGAGACCUCAUUAUUGCUCUUUACCCUAAAUUAUAGGUACAUUCUUGGCUCCAUUUCCCACUCUUCACGAGCCCCAGAAUAGUGUUUUUCCCCCUAUAUUUCUAAAUAAUCUUCAAUACUUCAUCAAUCAAAUAUUUAACAUCUCAUAGAUGAUGUGUUGGACCAAAGCUAAGAUCUGUGAAAUCCAGUAGUCCAAGCCAGAACUUUGUGCCUAUCUUAUGACAUUGGAGUUGUUUCUGUUCCUAUUUACUCUAAACAUUCCUUGAAGGUAACCACUCUCCAUCUACAUGUCCGGAUCCAGUUCCUAGGAACUGAGAAAGUGUUGUAAAUUGAACUAUCCAUAACCCUAUAAAGGUCAUGUUACCAUUAUCUCUUUUUUAUGAAAAAGCAUACUGAGCCUCAAAAAGGUGAAAUAACCUUCCUAAGUCAAAGGAUAUCUAAGAAAAGGUCAGAACUUCAUUCCAGAUACCCUGAGUUCCAGAGUCUGUGUGCUGAUAUUACAUACACUCCCUGUCUUUGGUAAUCCUUCCAUAGAAUGUUCCCUGUAAACUUGAGGAAGACAGGAAAGACAGAAAAAGGUGGUGGUGGGGUGGAUAGACAGAGUAAGCAAGAGAAUUUCAUGUUAUCAAAAGUCAAGUCCUCAAACUGAGUUUGAACCUGCUUUUCCAGUUUUACUACCACCACUUCAUCCUACGUUCCCAUUAAACUGGUCUAUGCUGGCUAUACUAAGGAUAAGGAAUUUUUAAAAAUGGAUUGGUAUAUUGAUCUUCUAACCUGCAACCUGCUGUAUUUGCUUAUUAAUUCUAGUAGCUUUUCAUAAAUUCCACUGUAUUUUCAAUGUAGAUGAUCAUUUAAUCUAUGAAUAAAGAUAUUUUUUAUUCUUCC